UGCGGCAUCACCUCCUUUCUAAGGAAGCUGUGGAACAGGAAGACGGCAUCUUCGGAUGCAUGACCUUUCCCGUGCUUUUUAGAACAUAGAUGGCACCAGUCAGGUGACCAUCGAAACGCAAUACGCCGCGUCGACUUCGGUCACGACGGUAUGGCGAGCUUUCGCCGUCCACGUUUCUCUUUCUUCAAGAAGAUAUCGAACCAUUGAGUGCGCUCACGCGCUGUUUGCACCUUCGGUGCUGCGCUCCGCUGGGGCGCCGGACGGCCGGCGACGGACUAUCGUCCUGUUGAUCAGGAUGAAAGCGAUGGGCCCGUAGCUCAGUUGGUUAGAGCACACGCUUGAUAAGCGUGGGGUCGGUAGUUCAAGUCUACCCGGGCCCACCAUUUGCUUUUGCAGUUUGGUUUGCUCCUGGUUUAACUGAUCCUGGGUUUAACUGAUCCUGGCGGUUUGCUGUCAGGUGUUUGCGAUGGUUGGGGCUGUAGCUCAGCUGGGAGAGCACCUGCUUUGCAAGCAGGGGGUCAGCGGUUCGAUCCCGCUCAGCUCCACCAAUUCGCUUUGGUGUUGAACUGAGGGAUUUGAGAUAUCUUCUGAAGAAAAACAAAGUUUGCAUCGUUUAUGACGAUGCCUGUUCUGCAUAUAUCGUGAAGAGAAGAUUGAUCUGGAGGCUUCCAGGUGUUUUGGGUUUAGGCCCAGGGCGUCCGAAGCCGGUUCCAAUGAUGUCGUUGAUGGUCUAGCCGACCGGAAACGAAAGAGGAGCCGGAUGUAGGAAGGAAGCUUGUCCCGAGGCAUUGUUGUUGUUUGAAGGCUUUGGCUUUCAUCUGACCGACGGUGCUGGAUUGGCGUUGCCUGACCGCGCGCCACCGGAUUUGAUCUCGAGAAGCUGGUCUUAAGACAGACUGCAAGUGAGCUGCUCGGCGUAGCUCCAAUAAAGCAGAUCUGUCGAACACGUCGAUGGCAUCAUUAGAAAGCGUGAUUGUAAAAGGUAAUCACGCAUUGUUGGUCUUCGGAUUUGAUUGCGGCAACUGAGAAGUUGUCCGGAUGGUCAGAUUUGGCAGCCCGCGAGAGCGCAAGCCGAGCGGAUAAGGUUUGCCAAAUCCAACAAAGAUGAUGAGCAUUGGCAAUGAGAACGAUUAAGUGUCGUAAGGGCAUUUGGUGGAUGCCUUGGCAUGCACAGGCGAUGAAGGACGUGAUACGCUGCGAUAAGCCGUGGGGAGCUGCGAAUGAGCUUUGAUCCAUGGAUCUCCGAAUGGGGAAACCCGG
rnacentral:misc_RNA from 1 species